CACUCAAAAGACAAAAAGAGUUUUUCAACAGAUAAAAGUUUUAAAAGUUUCCUAACAUGUUAAGAGACAAGACAAAGAAUUUUUUAAAGUUAUUUGACAUAUAACACCAUGUACCUUGGGGAAAGGAAAAAACCUCUUUAUAAAUGUCAUGUGAUGUUACCUUUCCUGAAGGCCUACUUUCUUCUGUUUGGCCAGGUAAGCGUAGACAUAAUGACCAUAACUAGUGGAAAAAAAAAAAAAACUGUACCUUGAGAAGUUUUUUAACUGAGAUGCUCUCCUCAGUUUUUUUACUAUCAUCAUCUGCCACAAAAGUGUAGGAGAACGUUCAGUGGUAUUAGAAAAUUAGAGAUUCUUACUGAGUGAUAACUCACAGAGUAGAAAAUAAAAAGCUGUGUCGAAGUGUAAAAAUGAACUUACUGGAGUGUGCACUUAAAGCUAGCUUCAAAAGUAAAGGAAACCUCAUUAAAGUCCAUGCUUCAAUCUCAGGAGCACUGUGAGGGUGUCGGGUGUCCCGCUUUGUGCUGGCCUGGAGUUGCUGGACAGAAGUGUGGAAGUAUUUCAUUCAUAUUUCCAGGGGGCAUCAACAAUGGUUGCAUGCAGGAGUGCCUCAUAAAGUAACUGUUGAGACUUACAACCAAUCAAAUUGCGGACCACUUGACGUAGUGCCUCAAAUCACUCGCUGCCAUCAGAUGUGCGUGUUCCUGUAGCUGCCAUCUUGUUUGUUUACAAAUACCCUAAAGCCAGACUGCUGUGUCGUCAUCUUACAGGAUCUGCCCCGUUUUUACACCCAGGGUUAUGAUUGGUUAGGUGUAUCUGUCAAAAAGGGGGAAUCAUUAAGAGUGACACCCACCUGUCAGGAAAACUGAUUAUGAACUGGCUGAUGGACCCGGUACACCAGGCUAGCUUUAUGUAGGACUGCUUCACUCCCUCCACCUAUUAUGUCCACCAUGUCCAACAAAUUGUUCCAAAUUUGAAUGUGGGAUUGCUGCUUUUCUAAAAACCUGGUCUGUUUGCAGCCUGUGGUUAAUAUCUCCACUACAAUGUUAUAUGCCAAUCGGCCUGUACACAAACCGUAUAAAGUAACCAACCUGUCAACAUCCUCUUUGCCUAUGUUACACCCAACAGCACUAAACAACGGUGUGAGAGCACCUUAUGAUUGAACUCAUGUCAAAGAAAAGGAAAGGCAGCCACAACAAAGUCUGGGAAAGUAUUUUGUUUCAGUGGAGGCCAAGCUUUCUUGCAACAUUUGCAAAUGAAAUUCAUGCACAAAAGAGAAUAUUACUUCAAGUGACACACUACAUGCAAAAACAUAAAAAAGAGCCAUGGCUCAUACAAAGAAAUGUGGAUCUUUGAGUGCAUUCCCCUGAGACCAAAAGAGGAUCUCCAAACAGAAAAGGUAACAGCAGAAAUAAAAAAAAAUGGAUGCUACCACACAGUGUAGUGCUUACAGUCAGAUCAGGUUGCUGUCUUCAACAGUUUGCAGUAUGAUAUCUGAUAAAAUAUGAUAUCCAUAUUAAGACCUACUAACCCAACAAGCAGUGGAUUAUGGGAGUACACACCUCUGAACCAAACUCAGUCAUCAUUGAAAAUCCAACUACAGUGAUUUUUGGGUCCUCAGAUGAAUGAUGUGAUCUGUCAGAACUUCCUGAUUGAUUCAGGUCUGAUCAGCUGUACUGCUCUGAAUGAUUAUUGGCUGUUCGGUUGUCAUGACAACAAACCAUCCCCUGAAUACAGGAGGCCUUGGAACAAUGUUCCUGUUUUAGAGAUGCAGACCAUCACUGCUGCAUCCGAUCACAAGUUAAUGGCUGUUUUACACGGUCGCCGGCAUGCUCCUUUAAGGUGUUUCAUCCUCCUGAACCACCUCCAGCUUCGACUCCAUCCUGAGCAGUCCACCUUAACAGCCCUCUGCCUGGCACUCAAACCAGCUUUGUUUACUGACAGGAUUUGGCAGUCAGCCAUUUUGUUUUUGCACAUUUACAUAAACACCAAAUGGUGCCUGUUUCCUGUGUGAGUGUGUAUGCAGUGUGUGUGUGUGUGUGUAUGAGUGUGUGAAUGUGCAGGGGCCCUGGCUAAUUCCCUCCCUUGUCGCUGCUGCAGAUGAAAAUCGGAGGCAGUUUGAGAUUCAUUAAAGCGCGGCGGCUGCCCGGAUGCAGUUUUCCUGCAAAAAGCCGAUGAACUUGACACAAAUGCUCACGAGCUGCAAGUUCAUCCCUCCAUACCUUAAUUCAGUUGAUUGCUAAAUUAUGCAAUGACCCAGCCAAAGACAUGGGGAAGGGCGGGGGGGCUUUAUCGCUGCCAGUGAUUUUUCCAGAAUUACUCUGUUUUUAGAAAUACUUCCUGCUCGCCGUAACCGCGGGCUAAACAUGUGUGCUAGGCAGCACAGCAGAAAAUAAACGAAGAACUUCCACUUCCUACCACUCCUGCUCUUCAGUAGACUGUAAGAGUGUCAUCCUCAUAUAUCAGGUAGACAGGGAGACAUGCCAUCAAUGUAAAUGUUCAGUUUUAUUAAUUUUACCACUGUAAGCUGCAAUUGACGUUGAAUUUAAAAUGAAUGAGUUGUUCAUCCUGACCUGUUACAAAUACCUGUCAUGGCACAGGGUUGAACGAUGGGAAAAGGACCCAAAAAUGCAGAACAAUUGAUUUAUUUAAAAAGAACUAAAUGAAAAAACAACAAACACUUUCUUCAAAAUGUCCAGCUGAAAAAUCCCUAAGACAAAAUCCAACAAAAGGCACAGGGUAAAAAAACAAGGAGACAAUGGAUUCACACAUUGACUACGACUGACGCACACUGACCAACAAACACACACACAAUGAACCAACCAAGACAGAGGGGGAGACAGGGACUAUAUACACACUGGGACACGAGCAACAGGUGAAACAGACGAGACACAGGUGAAACUAAUGGGUGAUUAACGAAGGAGGGAAAACUUGGGAAGUAAAACCAGACUAGAAACACAAGGAAUCAACUACUACAAAAUAAAACAGGAAACACUGAGAACUGAACUAAAGAAUAAAAACAGAGAACAGGAGGGAAACAGGAUCAAAUACAAACUAAAAACUCAUAAGACUGGACUACAGGGGAACAGAAACACUAGGAAACACAGAAAAUACACUCAAAUGACAAAACCAUGAAAAAACUAAAUCAAAAGAACAUAUCAUGACAAUACCAAAUCCUCUUCAAUGGUCUCAUUUGAACUGAAAGGGACCAUCGAGGGGAAAUGAAGCCUGUACUUCCCGUGUCUGAUGCCGACUCUUUGGCUUUUUAUACAUCAAGUUAAGGAUCCUUCUCCACCAGGCUUUUAAAGUAACAUCAACCCAACUUAGGCAUUACUGGGAAAAAGAGACAAUACCUCUGAUGAUAGAGAAGAAAUACAGAGAAAAACCACUCAAAGUGGAGGGUCAGGGGCUGGAAAUAUGAUGACCAGCUUUUCAUAUUUGUGCUGCAUUUACUGUUACUUUGUGUACAUUUCAACUGUAGUAUCACUUUUUGAAUUUGCAUGAUUUCCUUAUUUGCAGCAUGUUUCUCCUACUAGAGACCAUUUGGUUCUGUGAAUAUAUAGUACAGGGCAUGUAAGCUGAUAUAAAGUUUCCCCAAACUUCAAUCUCAAACUGCAACCUCUAAAUAAAAAACACAGAGUACUAAAUAGUAGUAAAAAACUGAAUGCGCACAGCUAUAAAGACAUCAAAACUGCCAUUAGAUGCAUUUUGAUAAUCUUAUACAUCAGUUACAAUUGUGUGUUUUGGAUUUCAAAUUGUUAAUUGUAUUUCUAGUGCAACUCUCAUCAAAAAUAGGAACAAAAUAAGAUGGCUCACUUGCACAUACUGUCAGUUUUGUUCAACAUAUUUGUGAAGUAUUGGAUCAUGUAUGCUGGUCAGGUGAGCGGCAUGGGAAGGCCAGAUUUGGCCCAGGGGCUGCCGAUUCGGCCUGGUCAAAAGGGGUCAUUAGAAAAUCACUUAACAGUAAACAAACAGUUCAAUCAGAAAUACGCACAAAAUUAAGACCAGUGAAGAGGUCAUGAGGAUGGAAAGAAAUGAAAUACUGUCUGUGACUAAUCAGUAGUACAUACCACUUCUGUUUGCAAUCCCACAAACCCUUACUGCUUUCUGUCACAUGAAGGUGACAAAUAUUGGUGUUUUUUGUUUGACAUUUUAACUUUAGGUAUUAUAUGAGUCAGAUUUUUUAUUCCUGAUAGUAAAUACAGUGAAGAUUUGAACACGUUUACAUUGGUUGCCUGUUUUAACUGUGCUGUUAACUAUAUGUUUUAUGUAUUAAUGAUAAGACAUUCAUUUUCUGCUUUUAUUCUUAGGAAAACAUUCUUAUUUUUCACACUUUCUACAUAUUUUUUGACUUUCUAUCCCCAGUUGUUGCAUUUGAAGAUUUAUAAAUCUUGUCGUACCUUGAUACACUUGGGUUUUGUUGUUGUCUACUGUCUGUUAUUUUUAUUGAGAGGUGAGAUGCUCAUAUAAGUCACCUGGAUUGUAUUACUUCACCAUCAUGUUAACCUCCUCUGA